rnacentral:lncRNA from 1 species
GGCGCCCAGACAUCAAAGCUGAGCUUUCUUUGUCUCCGGCAGCCUGGGCCACUCCAGAGGUGUUAAAGCUCCAGCACUUCGAGCCUGCCUCGUGGGAAAGUCUUAGGCUGAGUCUGUAGGUGUCUGCAGUUAAGAAGCCAGCGGUCUGCAUAUGAUUGCUCAGGGGUGGUGGCUGGGUCCAACAGCAUUCACUACAGGCCUGCCUUGAAUACCACCUAGCGCAGUGCUCCGCAUAUCACAGGGGCUGGAAACCUAACAAUUUCACUUCCUAGACAACUUGCUAAAAGUCACCUAAAGACAGUCUGGUUACUGCCAAAGAUAUGCUUUCAAAUAAGAUUUGGAUAAAGAAGGGAGGUAGAUGCCUUUUUUCAGCAGUGGAGUGAUGUCUAGACCAGUAGAUGUACGCAUCUAAGUGAAUUCAUCACCAGCAACAAUUUCCAGAAACUUCCUGACCUCCAGAUUGCAGCUUCAUUAGUGUGAGUUUAAAGCCAACUAGAUGCCAUUCUCAGAUUCCACGCAUAUGGCCAAGGGUCCAGGAAAUAAGAAGAAACAGGUUGAGGGGUUGGUGUUAUGGGGCAUUUACUUGAAUUUUCUAUGCUAUAAUUGUCUCAUCUUUAAAACGGUGAUAAUAAUAAAAUUGUCAGUUAUUAAAUAAAUUAACACAGUGAAAAAAAA